rnacentral:rRNA from 1 species
GUAGGUGGCAAGCGUUGUCCGGAAUUAUUGGGCGUAAAGCGCGCGCAGGCGGUUCUUUAAGUCUGAUGUGAAAGCCCACGGCUCAACCGUGGAGGGUCAUUGGAAACUGGAGAACUUGAGUACAGAAGAGGAAAGCGGAAUUCCACGUGUAGCGGUGAAAUGCGUAGAGAUGUGGAGGAACACCAGUGGCGAAGGCGGCUUUCUGGUCUGUAACUGACGCUGAGGCGCGAAAGCGUGGGGAGCAAACAAGAUUAGAUACCCUGGUAGUCCACGCCGUAAACGAUGAGUGCUAAGUGUUAGGGGGGUUUCCGCCCCCUUAGUGCUGCAGCUAACGCAUUAAGCACUCCGCCUGGGGAUACGGCCGCAAGGCUG